rnacentral:rRNA from 1 species
AGUGGGGAAUAUUGGACAAUGGGCGCAAGCCUGAUCCAGCCAUGCCGCGUGAGUGAUGAAGGCCUUAGGGUUGUAAAGCUCUUUUAGCAGGGAAGAUAAUGACUGUACCUGCAGAAUAAGCUCCGGCUAACUUCGUGCCAGCAGCCGCGGUAAUACGAAGGGAGCUAGCGUUGUUCGGAAUCACUGGGCGUAAAGCGCACGUAGGCGGAUUUGUUAGUGAGGGGUGAAAUCCCGGGGCUCAACCUCGGAACUGCCUUUCAUACUGCAGAUCUCGAGUCCGAUAGAGGUGGGUGGAAUUCCUAGUGUAGAGGUGAAAUUCGUAGAUAUUAGGAAGAACACCGGUGGCGAAGGCGGCCCACUGGAUCGGUACUGACGCUGAGGUGCGAAAGCGUGGGGAGCAAA